rnacentral:rRNA from 1 species
UACGUAGGGUGCGAGCGUUAAUCGGAAUUACUGGGCGUAAAGCGUGCGCAGGCGGUUUUGUAAGUCUGUUGUGAAAUCCCCGGGCUUAACCUGGGAAUGGCGAUGGAGACUGCAAGGCUAGAGUUUGGCAGAGGGGGGUAGAAUUCCACGUGUAGCAGUGAAAUGCGUAGAGAUGUGGAGGAACACCGAUGGCGAAGGCAGCCCCCUGGGUCAAAACUGACGCUCAUGCACGAAAGCGUGGGGAGCAAACAGG